rfam:Schistosoma rodhaini strain Burundi genome assembly, scaffold: SROB_scaffold0017201
GCACUGCUGAGGAGUCCCAUAAUAGGACAAAACAGCCGUCCAGUGC